AUUGAACGCUGGCGGCAUGCCUUACACAUGCAAGUCGAACGGUAACAGGUUAAGGUGACGAGUGGCGAACGGGUGAGUAAUACAUCGGAACGUGCCCAGACGUGGGGGAUAGCUCGGCGAAAGCCGGAUUAAUACCGCAUAAGCUCUGAGGAGGAAAGCGGGGGACCGUAAGGCCUCGCGCGUUUGGAGCGGCCGAUGGCAGAUUAGGUAGUUGGUGGGGUAAAGGCUUACCAAGCCUACGAUCUGUAGCUGGUCUGAGAGGACGACCAGCCACACUGGGAACGAGACACGGGCCAGACUCCGACGGGAGGGAGCAGUGGGGAAUUUUGGACAAUGGGCGAAAGCCUGAUCCAGCAAUGCCGCGUGCAGGAUGAAGGCCUUCGGGUUGUAAACUGCUUUUGUACGGAACGAAAAGGCGCCUACUAAUACUGGGUGUUGAUGACGGUACCGUAAGAAUAAGCACCGGCUAACUACGUGCCAGCCGCCGCCGUAA
rnacentral:rRNA from 1 species